rnacentral:rRNA from 1 species
AGCAGCCGCGGUAAUUCCAGCUCCAAUAGCGUAUAUUAAAGUUGUUGCAGUUAAAAAGCUCGUAGUUGAAUUUCGGGGUUAGUAGGUUGGUCAUGCCUCUGGUAUGUACUGGUCUCACUGAUUCCUCCUUCCUUAUGAACCGUAAUGCCAUUAAUUUGGUGUUGCGGGGAAUUUGGACUGUUACUUUGAAAAAAUUAGAGUGUUUAAAGCAAGCUAACGCUUGAAUACAUUAGCAUGGAAUAAUGAAAUAGGACGUUCGAUCUUAUUUUGUUGGUUUCUAGGAUUGACGUAAUGAUUAAUAGGGAUAGUUGGGGGGCAUUAGUAUUCAAUUGUCAGAGGUGAAAUUCUUGGAUUUAUUGAAGACUAACUACUGCGAAAGCAUUUGCCAAGGAUGUUUUCAUUAAUCAAGAACGAAAGUUAGGGGAUCGAAGACGAUCAGAUACCGUCGUAGUCUUAACCAUAAACUAUGCCGACUAGGGAUCGGAUGAUGUUAAUUUUUAAUGACUCAUUCGGCGCCUUA